AUAAGCAAGUGUGUUUAACAUUACAGAAAAAUAUCCUUGGUUUGAUGAAUGCAUUUCCUGGAAAGAUCACAUGUCGUUUCCACGUUACCCAACAGAGUUCACAGAUCUGUAAAGAACUUCAGCCACAUGUUACAGAGGGAAGAGUAUCUGAAAAGGAUCUAGAAAAACAUGUCUCUAAGGAUACUUUAUGGUACAUCUGCGGUCCACCUCCAAUGAUAGAAUCUAUAUCCAAACUACUAUCCAACAUUGGUGUUCCUAGAAACUGUGUUUUCUUUGAGAAAUGGUGGUAGUGACAUCUGCUGAACAGCAAAUAGCUUGUUUCCAGCGUAUUUUGAUAAGCUGAAAUGUACAGAAAAUGGACUGUGAAUUAUUCGGAAGACUUUACUUCAUACAUGAAGGUGUCCUCAAUCGUGAUCGUCUUCAUUUAAUUUAACUAUAAUAAUUGUGAUACAGCGCUGCUGCUUUUGGGGAAAAAAUGAUUUUAUAUUAAAGACAGUAACUGUUCUGUUUUUUUGAUGGUUUGCUUACUUCUUAUGGGUCGCAGCGUAUUUUCACUUUAUACACUUGUUUUGUUAGUCAGCUUUUAAGAGACUUUCAGUGCCUGAUUCAGCAGUUGUCGAGAAUCAGUUGUGCAGCAAUGCCAGGUCAGUUUAUAAGAAAUAAGAAUUCAGGCCGCAACUUCUGAAUCUGCUCCAAAUUGUUGUGCUAGUGAGUCAACACACUGCCUUCCCCA